rnacentral:rRNA from 1 species
UAUGUUGCCAGCACGUAAUGGUGGGAACUCAUGGGAUACUGACCGGGGGUCAAACUCGGAGGAAGUGGGGAUGACGUCAAAUCAUCAUGCCCCUUAUGUCUUGGGCUUCACGCAUGCUACAAUGGCCGGUACAAAGGGCUGCAAUACCGUAAGGUGGAGCGAAUCCGAAAAAGCCGGUCUCAGUUCGGAUUGCAGGCUGCAAUUCGCCUGCAUGAAGUCGGAAUCGCUAGUAAUCGCAGGUCAGCAUACUGCGGUGAAUACGUUCCCGGGCCUU